GACGAGCGCUGGCGGCGUGCCUAAUACAUGCAAGUAGAACGCUGAAGGAGGAGCUUGCUCUUCUGGAUGAGUUGCGAACGGGUGAGUAACGCGUAGGUAACCUGCCUGGUAGCGGGGGGUAACUAUUGGAAACGAUAGCUAAUACCGCAUAAGAGUAGAUGUUGCAUGACAUUUGCUUAAAAGGUGCAAUUGCAUCACUACCAGAUGGACCUGCGUUGUAUUAGCUAGUUGGUGGGGUAACGGCUCACCAAGGCGACGAUACAUAGCCGACCUGAGAGGGUGAUCGGCCACACUGGGACUGAGACACGGCCCAGACUCCUACGGGAGGCAGCAGUAGGGAAUCUUCGGCAAUGGACGGAAGUCUGACCGAGCAACGCCGCGUGAGUGAAGAAGGUUUUCGGAUCGUAAAGCUCUGUUGUAAGAGAAGAACGAGUGUGAGAGUGGAAAGUUCACACUGUGACGGUAUCUUACCAGAAAGGGACGGCUAACUACGUG
rnacentral:rRNA from 1 species